rnacentral:rRNA from 1 species
GACGAACGCUGGCGGCGUGCUUAACACAUGCAAGUCGAACGGAAAGGCCCUUCGGGGUACUCGUGUGGCGAACGGGUGAGUAACCCGUGGGUGAUUUGCCCUGCAUUUUGGGUUAAGCCUGGGAAACUGGGUCUAAUACCGAAUAGGACCACUAGCUUCCUGGUGUGUGGUGGCAAGCUUUUGCGGUGUGGGAUGGGCCCGCGGCCUAUGAGCUCGUUGGUGGGGUAAUGGCCUACCAAGUCGGCGACGGGUAGCCGUCCUGGGAGGGUGACCGGCCACACUGGGACUGAGAUACGCCCCAGACUCCUACGGGAGACAGCAGUGGGGAAUAUUGCACAAUGGGCGCAAGCCUGAUGCAGCGACGCCGCGUGAGGGAUGACGGCCUUCGGGUUGUAAACCGCUUUCAAUAGAGACGAAGCGCAAGUGACGGUACCUAAAGAAGAAGCACCGGCCAACUACGUG